UCCAAUCUAUCACAAUCCUUCAUCUUUUUCUAAAUCGAAUAAGUGAUAUACGUGUAUGAACAUGUGAUUUGAUUACAAAUAGUCACAUGUGCACAAUCGUUCAGUUAACAACAUCAGUGAACACAUCCGCUCAAAUCUUCAAGUUCAGUUCUUCACGGGUUCAUCAUCAACAACAUCAAGACACUCUCGAUUUCGUCACGUCUCUUAGAUUUCGAGUGUCUAGUGUUUAGGUCGAGUCGAAACUCUGUCUGGAUGUCAUUUGUAAGAUAAUAAAACGACGUUUAUUUACAUUUUCGCGCACGAUUACAGUUUGAUUUAUCGGAUUCCGUACGUUAAAUCGAAUCCACUGCAGAACUAGAGAUCGUAUACGAUCCGCUCCUGAACUCACAAGUGGUAUCAGAGCUACGGAGAGCUCUGCGUGUAAUCAUGAGUGAAAUCGGACGAGUUUCGACAGAUUUCAUUGAAUUCGUAUCAUUUUGAUCAUAGUUUGCAACAAUUUCUGUCAUUUAAUUUUGCUUACAGACUGUGUAGUUGAGUGAAACUUGAUUUUGUUUAAAAUUUCAUACUACAUCAUUCGCAAAACUGAGAUCUGAUCUAAAUCAGUAUUGAUUUUACAUCUGAAUAUAAGACGAAAAAAAUGAAAACAGAUUA
rnacentral:lncRNA from 1 species